rfam:Schistosoma haematobium scaffold264_5, whole genome shotgun sequence.
AUCCAGCUGACGAGUCUCAAACAGGACAAAAAGCGCGUCCUGGAU